GACUACGUCCACUGCGGCACCUGCGUCCAAGGAUUUUGUGACCUGGUCGUAGAAGACAACCAGUGCCUUCUGCUGCUCACUUCUGCUCUUCUCUACAAACACACUUAAUCAUGAUGGCCUCUCUUGCCUGUUUCCCUGUUAAGUUGCAACAUGGAUGGAUUGUUUGUCUCUGUUUUGCUGCUGUCUUGCGCUGCAACCUUUGCGCGGUGGGAGAACACAGUAGCUUACCCCAUUGGAGCGUUGCCAGCCAAAGGUAUGGCAUGAUGCACCAGUAAUGUGGAGCAUGCAGACUCCCAACAUGGUUUCUUUUCUACCAUGGGCCUGCUACGUUGGACAGCACUGAGGAGAUUUUGCAUAUUUCUUGCUUUACUGAAGGUUUAUCCUGGGACGGUGAACAUGGACAUCUGAAUGUUUGCAUUUUGUCCCAAGAUAAAAUGAUUUUUCCUGGGACUAAUGCAAUGUGUGUUUGUAGCCUAAUAGAGUUAUAUAACACAGCUUUACUGAAAAGACACAUACAUCUAUAAUAGAAUUCUGUUUCCCUUUCUGUGUCUAAAUAAGUUUCAUAGAUAUCUACCUGUUUGGUUUUGGCCCUUACUUUAUAUUUUGGAUGCAUAAGUCCCCCUCUCCCAACACUUCUCUGGUGCUCCUUUUUGAAGUUGAGCCACUGUCUCUUGCAUUUAAUGGCUUGAGGCUAAACUGGAUGAUGUGCAGUGCAGUAGCUUCCACCCCACUCAGAGCAAGGAUCUAGCUUAGAACCAAGGGUGUACUCCUUUUUAGGACAGCAGCCAACUCUCAAAGUCACACAACCCUCCAGCUUCAUUUCUUCCUCCUACCUCUACAUUUUGUUCUCUCUUUGCUGCCCAGGGGACAAGCUUCAGAAGGAAAGCUAAAGAGAAGCCAGAAUGGUGCCUAGUCUGUGGUGUGGCAGCUUGGGCACUAUGCUGAGAAGACAGAAAGCUGCAAGUUCAAGCUCUUUUUGGGUAAACGAAGCCUACAGUGAGUGUCCAAAACAUGCAGCACUUGGGGCUGAAACAUAGCAUAUUUCUUCUUUCUCUACCAAAAUCUAACACCUGCUGGUCAUGCCUUUUUGGCUGCCUUCAUUUUUGUGACUUGGAUGCAGAUAUUCACUCGCCAUAGGGCAUGCCCCUAUAUAUCAACUUAUGCAUGCACAGCCAGUCCAUAGCAUAUUGCAUGGUCAGUCUACACAUGCCAGCUUAUACAAUCACAUUGCAGGGGUAAUAGAAUCACAACUGGUACAUAAGUGGUAUUUUUGGCACUUACGCAGCUCAGAAGUUGUUGUCUGUGCACACAAAGGGAAAUAGAUUGCAACCCCUAGUAUGGGGCUUAUCUUGCUCUUUGGAUAGAUAAACAAUUAUAAACUAUUGCUAACUUACUGUAUUAUUUUCUACGUAGCCAUACUUGUAUUUGCUUACUGUCUGUGCCUUUGUGCAUUUGAAAAGGGCUUGUUUUUAAUGCUAUUCUGUUGUUUUUCAUUUUUGCCUUCUGUGUCCAUUUUGUUUUGUUUCUGUGAAAUGAUUUUGUAUGUGUGUUCUGAUUUCAUUUCAAUGACUAGAAUACCACUGUGUAUCCUGGGGAAACAGUGCUACCAUUUCACUCCUAUCAUGAAUGCAUGUUCUGAGUAAACUCGCUUACUCUACCACUUCAUGAUUUUAAGCAAUUUGAAAAUAAAUGUUG